UACGUAGGUGGCAAGCGUUAUCCGGAUUUACUGGGUGUAAAGGGGGCGCAGACGGCAGCGCAAGCCAGGAGUGAAAGCCCGGGGCCCAACCCCGGGACUGCUCUUGGAACUGCGCGGCUGGAGUGCAGGAGGGGCAGGCGGAAUUCCUGGUGUAGCGGUGAAAUGCGUAGAUAUCAGGAGGAACACCGGUGGCGAAAGCGGCUCUCUGGCCUGUAACUGACACUGAGGCUCGAAAGCGUGGGGAGCAAACAGG
rnacentral:rRNA from 1 species